rnacentral:rRNA from 1 species
CGGAGUAAUACAUCGGAACGUGUCUUCUAGUGGGGGAUAACUGCCCGAAAGGGCAGCUAAUACCGCAUGAGACCUGAGGGUGAAAGCGGGGGAGUCGCAAGAUCUCGCGCUGGAAGAGCGGCCGAUGUCCGAUUAGCUAGUUGGUGAGGUAAAGGCUCACCAAGGCGACGAUCGGUAGCUGGUCUGAGAGGACGACCAGCCACACUGGGACUGAGACACGGCCCAG